CCCGCAGGGUGCUGGAGCAGUAUACUCGGGGAGCGCUGGAACCCGUCGGCAGGGGGAGGGGAACUCCUUGGAGGAGGUGCCUUCUCAGGGGAGAUCUCAGAAAAUCAGUGAGUUGAGGAGGGUUCCUGUGUCUCAGAGCUGAAGAAUGGAUCUUGCGGACAAGAGGGUGAAGUCAAAUGAAAGUUUAUCAUGCGAAGGUGAGAGCAGAGAGGAGGGCUCUCGAGCGUAAGAGGGGCCAAAUGCGCUGCCACUGAGGAUGUUUAUGUAUUAUGCAACCAUGGUGGAUAACCUUAUCAUCUCAAAGAGAAACUGCAUGGCCGUGAGCAGUCACUCCCCACCCUAUCUCCAGCCUGGGUAACACUCAGUGUGUCUGGGGAUGUCCUUUCUCUGGACAUUUCCAAUGAAUGGAAUCAGACAAUAUGUAGUCUUUUGUGUUUGACUCCCUUCAUUAGCCUGAUGGGGUUUUUAUUAAGAUUUUAUUUUUAAGAUUUUAUUUUUAAUAUCUUCCAUGUUAUUCCUAUGCUCCAUCAGUAAAUGAAACCAUGUGAUAACUGACUUUCUCUGCUUGACUUAUUUCACACAGCAUAGUCUCCUCCAGACCCGUCCCUGUUGAUACAAUAGUUGGGUAUGCAUCCUUGCUUCUUCUU